AUGAACGCUGGCGGCGUGCCUCAUCCAUGCCAGUCGAGCGAACAGACGAGGAGCUUGCUCCUCUGACGUUAGCGGCGGACGGGUGAGUAACACGUGGAUAACCUACCUAUAAGACUGGGAUAACUUCGGGAAACCGGAGCUAAUACCGGAUAAUAUAUUGAACCGCAUGGUUCAAUAGUGAAAGACGGUUUUGCUGUCACUUAUAGAUGGAUCCGCGCCGCAUUAGCUAGUUGGUAAGGUAACGGCUUACCAAGGCAACGAUGCGUAGCCGACCUGAGAGGGUGAUCGGCCACACUGGAACUGAGACACGGUCCAGACUCCUACGGGAGGCAGCAGUAGGGAAUCUUCCGCAAUGAGCGAAAGCCUGACGGAGCAACGCCGCGUGAGUGAUGAAGGUCUUCGGAUCGUAAAACUCUGUUAUUAGGGAAGAACAAAUGUGUAAGUAACUAUGCACGUCUUGACGGUACCUAAUCAGAAAGCCACGGCUAACUACGUG
rnacentral:rRNA from 1 species